CGCCUACCGAAUGAGUUCUUUGAGUACUUUGCUGUUCAUACUGAGUUCAACACAUAGUCACGUGGCAUGUAGAAACAGUCAUUUUAAAGAUAUUUAAAACAACCUUUUUAGGCAUAGAUGAUGACCUCUUAUCAUUUGUACAGUCUUGUUUAUGAACAGGUCACCAGAGAGCUAUUUGUACUGUUCAUGUAUAUAUUUGUAUAAUUCUAUUUUAGCAUAUCACCCCGAGACACAUUUUUCCAAUUACAACAUUUGUAGCUCGGCAAUUUAGGACAGGAAAUAAAAGCUAUAAUUACCCCUCCUACCAGAUAGGAUCUCCAGUCUUUGUUCCUAUCCUACUGGCUGUGGACAGUUUCUCCUUUUUCCAAGGUUUACUGUUUUAUUUUAUGCUCACGAGGACACUUUUUGAAAAGGUCCAGCCAGGAGAGGUCAACCUCUCUCUUCCUGGAGACC